rnacentral:rRNA from 1 species
GGGAUAACCUGGGGAAACUCGGGCUAAUACCGCAUGAUGGAAGACAGAAGACAGGUGAUUGUGUGACUGCGUCACAAAUUUUAAAAAUUUGUCGCGAAGUGACACAAUGAUGUGUCUUCAGUCCUCUGUCUUCUGUCUUCUGAAAGCGGGGGAUCUUCGGACCUCGCGCUAUAAGAUGAGCCUACGUCGGAUUAGCUUGUUGGUGGGGUAAUGGCUUACCAAGGCGACAAUCCGUAGCUGGUCUGAGAGGAUGGCCAGCCACACUGGGACUGAGACACGGCCCAGACUCCUACGGGAGGCAGCAGUGGGGAAUAUUGGACAAUGGGGGAAAACCCUGAUCCAGCAAUGCCGCGUGUGUGAAGAAGGCCUUCGGGUUGUAAAGCACUUUCGGUGGGGAAGAAAUUCUCAAGGGUAAUAUCCUUGGGCAUUGACGUUACCCACAGAAGAAGCACUGGCUAACUCUGUGCCAGCAGCCGCGGUAAUACAGAGAGUGCAAGCGUUAAUCGGAAUCACUGGGCGUAAAGCGCGCGUAGGUGGAUAUUUAAGUCGGAUGUGAAAGCCCUGGGCUUAACCUAGGAAUUGCACCCGAUACUGGAUAUCUUGAGUAUGGUAGAGGGAAGUGGAAUUUCCGGUGUAGCGGUGAAAUGCGUAGAUAUCGGAAAGAACACCAGUGGCGAAGGCGACUUCCUGGACCAAUACUGACACUGAGGCGCGAAAGCGUGGGGAGCAAACAGGAUUAGAGACCCUGGUAGUCCACGCCGUCAACGAUGAGAACUAGCUGUUGGGAAGUUUACUUCUUAGUAGCGAAGUUAACGCGUUAAGUUCUCCGCCUGGGGAGUACGGCCGCAAGGUUAAAACUCAAAGAAAUUGACGGGGGCCCGCACAAGCGGUGGAGCAUGUGGUUUAAUUCGAUGCAACGCGAAAAACCUUACCUACCCUUGACAUCCUCGGAACUUGUCAGAGAUGAUUUGGUGCCUUCGGGAACCGAGUGACAGGUGCUGCAUGGCUGUCGUCAGCUCGUGUCGUGAGAUGUUGGGUUAAGUCCCGUAACGAGCGCAACCCUCGUCCUUAGUUGCCAGCGAGUCAUGUCGGGAACUCUAAGGAGACUGCCGGCGAUAAACCGGAGGAAGGUGGGGAUGAUGUCAAGUCAUCAUGGCCCUUACGGGUAGGGCUACACACGUGCUACAAUGGGCAGUACAAAGGGUUGCCAAACCGCGAGGUGGAGCUAAUCCCAGAAAACUGCUCGUAGUCCGGAUUGGAGUCUGCAACUCGACUCCAUGAAGUUGGAAUCGCUAGUAAUCGCGAAUCAGCAUGUCGCGGUGAAUACGUUCUCGGGCCUUGUACACACCGCCCGUCACACCAUGGGAGUG